rnacentral:tRNA from 1 species
GAGGGUAUAGCUCAGUGGUAGAGUGUGUGCUUAGCAUGCAUGUGGUCCUGGGUUCAAUCCCCAGAACCUCCA